ACACACACACACACACACACACACACACUGACAUUCCAAACAAAGAGGAGAGGUCAUUGCCACCCUGGUCUCUAGGUCCCGGUGCCAUUUUAUCUGCCGAACGUCAGAAAACAUAUUAUACCCAACAGGAUUACAGUGGAAGCUGAUUUCAUCUUUCAGCAGUUAACUGAUGAGAAACGGAGUAGCUCAACACACAGAGCACACGGGCGCCUUUAUAUCCCCGUCUAGUGGUGGAAGAUGGAAGUUACAGCAAAUUUGUGUGUCCUCCAGUCUGUGACCACACACGCCUGCACCUGAUUGUGUGUCGGUGGAGUCCUGCAGAGUCCAGCUGCACAGUAAAUGAGCUUCGAGAGCUAAAAGAACAAACAGUCCUGAAGACAUCAGCACGACCAACGCCUCAGCAGCAGAGCUCCACUGACCUCAGCGUUACAACCCAAAUAAAGCAUGUCGGAAAUUCCCUGUUGUUCCAAGAAUACAGAUAAUGUGACUUCUGCCAAGCUAAUAAGUAGUAUAGAUGUGUUUCCUAAGAAAGCAGUAUUUUCAGUAUGAGAACUACAUCAAUU
ensembl:lncRNA